UAACUGGAGAAAAAUAUUGUCGUCGUCCACCACUCUCUCCGAGAACCGUCAGAUUCACGAUUCGGCUUCUCUGGAAUUUUUCUUCAUCAAAGUCCCAUGGUUGGAACAAUAGCUCACCAACAUGGCAUCAAGAUCAACAACCCAUAAUCAAGAAGGAUAAUGAAUUUAUGGGGACAAACCGUCUUUUUCUCGAUGAACAAGUUCACCUUCUUACAUGUUUUCAUGUAUUUGUAAUCUUCUUACAUAUGUUUUAUGUUCUUAGUAGCUAAAUGAUCAUAGUUUCAGUGCUCAGUAAUCCAUGCUUUCAUCUCAUCAGCCUAUGCCAUUCAAUUCUGUAAUAUUUUACGUGAAGGCGUAAUCUUCAAUGUUGGAGGGUUUGAAGUUGGUCGAUGCACAAGACUGUGCAAGAUCAUUCGUUUCCUUUC